rnacentral:tRNA from 1 species
AUAUUAAAAGUUUUAAACAUUGAUUUUGUAAAUCAAAAACACAAAAUAUU